UACGUGAGCCCCGAGCGUUAUCCGGAAUUACUGGGCGUAAAGCGUGCGCAGGCGGUUUUGUAAGACAGAUGUGAAAUCCCCGGGCUUAACCUGGGAACUGCAUUUGUGACUGCAAGACUAGAGUGCGGCAGAGGGGGGUAGAAUUCCACGUGUAGCAGUGAAAUGCGUAGAUAUGUGGAGGAAUACCGAUGGCGAAGGCAGCCCCCUGGGUCGACACUGACGCUCAUGCACGAAAGCGUGGGGAGCAAACAGG
rnacentral:rRNA from 1 species